UAAAAAACUGACAAGAGUUCUAAUCCCUCUCCAUUAUCCAAAACUAAGAAAAUAAAGUUUUGCCUUUACUGGCACUGAAAGCACCAUAUGAAAUCUUGUGUAUCCAGGUGAAAAACGUUGUAUUAGGAUUAAAGUAAACCUGGCCAGAGAAAAAUGGUAGCUGCCAGAGUUGACCUAAAAGUACCAAUUGCCUGGCUACAUUGUACCACUGCCCUCAUGACCCCGCUAUAUUGCACAGACCAGAAAUUUUAAAGCCCAUAUCUGCAUACUUGUUCCAGGCCUUUCAAUUAGGCUUGGUUCUCAUAUAUAUAUGCAAAUUGGUUGCAUUUUAAACUGCACCCGAUUCGCAUGACAGUAACAUUAAUUUCCAUUGAAACUGUUCACAUAUACGGUGCAUCCACAGUGCGAAUUCUAGGCUUAUUGAGUUCUAUGGGAACACUUCCGAAUCGCACAUGUUCAGGAUUUCCGCACAGAUUGUUCUCCUACAGGAGGUGACACCCUUCAUCUUCUAUGUAUUGGCCAGCACUGAAAAACAGCAGCUGACAAAAAUCCAGUCCUGAGCCGUGCAAAUUCUCAUCAGAACCGCAUCAAAAAAACACUUUAAUUUUUAUUUGCAUUGAAAACCGACAUACAAUUCGCUGAGUGAACCGAUUAAGGAUAAGCACAACAGCCAAGCAGCUAGCAUUUUCAAGACUGGUCAGCACAGGCAGCCUUCACACUUCUCCCAUGAUGCAGAACACACAUUACCAAAGUGUCUGUUUACUGACAAAAUAAAAGUGAAAUAGUUACUUUA